GGGCACACGUGGGGGAAAGACCAUGGAUGCCCAUGCUCUGACCUAGUUCCCCAUCAAGUGCAUUGGAGCAAGUGCCCUCCUCCACUGAAACUGGACAGACUAAGACCACUUUCCUAAUGGAUGGAUUCUGGUCCAUCUCAUGUCCCAACAGAGCCCUCCCUGGGUGGGAAAGUUGCAUGCCAGAAGAGCCUCUUGACCCAGCCUCCAGCCAAAGCCAGUCCCCCUGCCAAUCAGGCCCUAGAGUUACACUGGAGGGGUGACAGGCCUCACCUGGAAAUUUGUGCUGAAAAUUGUCAGUUUCCCAAAAAGUACAGCCUGCAGUAAAUUCAAAUAAAACAGAAAGGACUGCUGCUUCAGUUCGGACUGCUUGAAAAAUUAGGUGUGUAGCAAAGCUUUUUUGCUGGAAAAUUGUGCAGCCAGGACAUUGUGCAGAUUGACCCAGUAGUUACAGCAAGUACACACAUAGGGCGCCAAAAACGAGAACAGUGUGCACAUGCGCCCGGAACACGCACACACACACAACAGCAGAAAAUCUAGAAGAUAAACUAUGUUUAAGUCAGCUGGUCA
rnacentral:lncRNA from 1 species